AAACAAACAAGCAAACAAACAAACAAUGAAAAGCCAUAUCCUGGCUCCAGGUAAUUGUUUUUCAGUUUAACCUGCUGAAGGAUGAUGCGAAUUCUUUGUCCUAGGUGGAUGAGAGGGAGCGAUGGUCGAGGCACACUCUCAGUACCUGGACGUCUAAGGCAUGGGAAGGAAAGACAGAGGGAGAGGACUCAUCAGAGCUCUGCCCACAGCUUCUGAGGAAGAGAGACACGUUCCGGAGCAUUUUGCAGUUAUCUCCUAUCUAGCUACAGGUGGAGGUCUGAGUCCUGAGUACUCUCACUGAAGUUUCUAGAUUUUUUUGUGUUCCAGAAAGCUAGCUGAGACGAGUUUACUGACAAAGGAGGUGCAGAGGAACACAGACUCGAGCCCCUUCACCGUCAUUUACACGGCAUCUGCUUCUUCCUUUUGUGUAUCGUGGGUUUUCCUCACCCAUGGCCUUUUAUUGUAUGUAGCCUGGCCGCGGAAGAGUCUGCAGACUCUUAAAAAAAACAAAACAAAAACAAAAACAAAAAAAACAAUACCUGUGAAAAACAGGAGGUGAGGCCCCCAAGGAGCCCAGAAGGAGCCCCUUUCUAACAACAGCUGGAAGAAGAGGAAGAAGUGGGGGGAAGGGACUAUUUAAGAUGCUUGAAGUUGCUGAGAAACUCACCAGAGACAGUGUGCUUCCUGCUCUGUGAGCCCCUCCCUCUGUGGCUGCAAGUCUCAGGCCCCUUCUUUCUGGAAGCAUUCUCCUUGCCUUAGUCUCAGAAAACAGGCCCAAGUCAGCUGGAGCUAGUAGCUCAUGUCUGCAAUCCUAGCCGUUGAGAGACUGAGGCAGGAGGACCACAGCGACCUCGAUGCUGUACCACAGGACGAUCUGAAGAUGCUGGCAUCCACUGCAGACCAGCUGAGAUGUGCAGCCGUGUGGACUGAACAACAACUGAUUUCCGGACCUUCUAUUGGUAGACAGACAGCCGGUGUUGGACUAGCAGGACCACAGCCUGUAAAUGAGGGAGGUAGGGAAGGGAACUGCUCGAAGAGGUAAGAAUGAAAACCCGGGGCAGAGUAACUUAAUCUCCUUGGAUCAGACUUCAGGAGUCUAAUACAGGGGGGUUCAUUGUCAGUAGAUUUAAAACACAGCACAAUUUGGGAAGAGGUUUUGAGGCAGCAACCAGUCCUAUCAGUCCGAAUCCAGGUGCACAGUAAAGCUUAAGGUGUGCCCACGCAGAGAUUCCUUUACAACGUACACGUGGCCAUGAG
rnacentral:lncRNA from 1 species